GUGCCUCUGCCAAGCUGUCUCCUGCAGUGGGGAUCAGACCAUAUAGUCUCAGUACCAUUCACAACAAUAGCAACAAUAGAUCCUUCACAAUGAUCACCUGAUCAACUCCUCACGAGAGCCCCAAGAGGGAAGAAUUAUGAUCCCAAUUUUCUCUGUGGGGAAAAACGGAACUAAGCAAAGGCCAAUGACUUCCCAAAGCUCCACAGUUACUAAGUAUUAGAUGCCGGAUUUGAAUUCUGGUCUAUCAAGCCUUAAGGUCUCUAAAGGUUAGGUCCUCCUCCCCCAACCCCACACCAUCUCACCAGAUUCUAAUUUCUUUCCCUGCUUCCAUUCUCUUCCUCAGGGAAUCACUCCUGGACUAUUCCCAAAGUCCAAAUUCUUGUUUCUUUACUAAGAAAAGCCAGCAUACCCAUGAAGACGCUCAGAAGAACAAAGGACCGUCCGUAGGAUUCCUAUUCCUUAGAAAGUAACUCUGGAUUUCUUCCUCUAUAAUGUUGGUGACACAGACAGAAAUCACUCAUCUGUGAGCUGACCCUGGGAAGAUAGAGCCAUCCUGUUGGUCUGUUCGAGAGUUGAAGGCAUUAAGGACAAAGACUCCCACUUAGACUGAAAUGUGGAGGAAUGACUUCUGAAAGGUGACAUCGUGGGGAAGUAGAGGCAGUCUGGAGUCACGUGCAACGUGCCCCGUGAUCCCAUCUUUGAAUAUGGAGUUGACAGGUGAGAACAAGUGCUCUCCAUGGUCUUCUGCCCUGAAAAUCAGAAGACUUUGCAAACUGGGGAUUUCUCUGAUUGCACUGGGCUUUUGCACAAGCUGGAAACAUGUGUGCCUGCUUCAACCACCAGCUGUCUACAACAAGAUCAAGGUCCUUUUCUCAGACAUAUAAGGAUGGAUCAAUAUUCAUGUCAACCAAACUGCAAUUUGAUUAGCACUGUGUUAGGAUCUAGAGGGGACACAAAAGUCUCAGAUGAAAUCAUGUAAGCACAACACAAGUCCUAGCACAGUGCCAGUCAAGGAGAAAUGAUUUGAAGAUUGAGAGAUGCUUCUAAGGCAUAUUGUUUUCUGUGUCUAUUGUGUGGAGCAUGUGACUAACAUUUUCUGGCAUGUAAUUUCCUAUCCCUAUAAUACUUUCC
rnacentral:lncRNA from 1 species